AAGCCAUUCGGGCUCAUGCCAUUUGAGCGAGUC
rnacentral:ribozyme from 1 species